rfam:Dipodomys ordii contig_62182, whole genome shotgun sequence.
ACCACUGAGCCACCUUCCCAGCCCCUAUAAUAACAAUUUUGAAUAUUAAAAUGAAUUGUUAGGGCUGGGAAGGUGGCUCAGUGGU